GGAUAGCCGCCCGAAAGGACGGGUAAUACCGGAUACCCCGGGGUGCCGCAUGGCACCCCGGCUAAAGCCCCGACGGGAGGGGAUGGCUCCGCGGCCCAUCAGGUAGACGGCGGGGUGACGGCCCACCGUGCCGACAACGGGUAGCCGGGUUGAGAGACCGACCGGCCAGAUUGGGACUGAGACACGGCCCAGACUCCUACGGGAGGCAGCAGUGGGGAAUCUUGCGCAAUGGGGGGAACCCUGACGCAGCGACGCCGCGUGCGGGACGGAGGCCUUCGGGUCGUAAACCGCUUUCAGCAGGGAAGAGUCAAGACUGUACCUGCAGAAGAAGCCCCGGCUAACUACGUGCCAGCAGCCGCGGUAAUACGUAGGGGGCGAGCGUUAUCCGGAUUCAUUGGGCGUAAAGCGCGCGUAGGCGGCCCGGCAGGCCGGGGGUCGAAGCGGGGGGCUCAACCCCCCGAAGCCCCCGGAACCUCCGCGGCUUGGGUCCGGUAGGGGAGGGUGGAACACCCGGUGUAGCGGUGGAAUGCGCAGAUAUCGGGUGGAACACCGGUGGCGAAGGCGGCCCUCUGGGCCGAGACCGACGCUGAGGCGCGAAAGCUGGGGGAGCGAACAGGAUUAGAUACCCUGGUAGUCCCUGCCGUAAACGAUGGACGCUAGGUGUGGGGGGACGAUCCCCCCGUGCCGCAG
rnacentral:rRNA from 1 species